UUUCAAUCCCUUCCAGACCAUGUUGAUUCAUAUUAGCAUUAAGAAGUGUACGAAUUCCAUACUUUAAGCUACAUCCAGUCACUAAUAUGAAAAUUCUGAGCAUCCUGAUUACAACCAUUCUUCAACAUUUGAUCAACUAUUCUAAAAUGGCCAUGGCGGAUUGUUGCACAUCAUUCAUAGCGUAUGGCUGCACUGUUGACGGUUAUCCCAUGUCACGCGUCGGCUUUUCGGAGACCUGCCUUGAUUGUACAGUGCCCACGCCGUGCUGUGGGUACCAAAGUUGUAACAUAUUCUGUUGUAAUUGCGAGUGUCGUAAGCAGUGGAAUUGUGAGCAAUUUAUGGGGUGCGUACUGGACAAGGGGAGGAGAAAAAGGUCACUGCGAAAUGAUUUUGCCCAAAUGGAAUACGAACUGGAAAUUGAUCCGGACAUCGGGGCAUAUACCAUUUUCAACUCGGUCGAUACCAAUUCGGAUGGACGUCUCGACUUAGACGAGGUCAAGACGUGGACGAAAUUGAGGAAUGUUACCUUUAGUAAUAACGAGUUUCGUGCAAUGGACGUUAGUGGAGAUGGAUAUUUGCAAUUGGGUGAAAUAGAUGACGUAAAUGAUGAUUGAAUUUAGAUCAAGAAUUGGUUUUGAUUGAUUAUAUGCUUCCUAAAUGAUUUGUACAUUUCUGGUCUAGUAAAAGUUGUGGAUUAAUAUGAAUAA